rnacentral:lncRNA from 1 species
UGGAUUUACACCAAUCUCCUAAAACAGACAUGGAUAUCAGAGGCCACUCAAUGGUCUUACACUAAUCUCCUCAAAAGAACAAAACAAAAUGAAAUAUGGAAAUCAACUGCCAAUCUAUCUGGACUUAGGUUAAUUCCACAUAUGAUCAUAGGAAAGCAAAUGCCAACUUGCGGGACUUACAAUUGGAUCCUCUCAUAAACAAAGAAAGCAAAACAUGGAUGUCAGAUGCCAAUCUGUCUGGGCUUACUCUAACAUACACAGUAUGAUCCUAGGAAAACAAAUGCCAA